ensembl:lncRNA
AGCACAUGGGACAAAACGCGAAGACAGGAAGCUUUAGUAUCAGGGUUCAGUGUACGUCUCAGUUCAAAGUUUCCAUUUUAAAGCCUCCCAAAUGCCAAUGUCUAUUCACACAUUUGCAUAUGGUUGUUGUGUUGUAAAUCACGACUCCGAGGGGAUUCGAACACAACCGUGUGUACCAGCAGUAAGCCCCACCAGGACCCCCCGACCCAGGCCGAGUCAUGCCCCGGAGAGGCGACCUGCGCCCCGGUCAGAACUGGCGGUUCCGGCUCCCUCAGGGAAUACAUGGUGGCCCCGUGGCUGGCGAUCGAGAACCUCUCUCCUCGAACCGUCAGUCAGAACAGACAGAGACGGAGAGCUGUUUCUACCUUCCUGCCCUGGGAG